CCGUGCUAGGCGGGGAGCUAGCGGUGCCCUGUACUCACAAUCCGCUACAGUGAGGCUGAAUGGCGGUAUUGAGGUUUCCUGCAGUAGGGUUUGACCUUGUGCAAGUGGCAAUGAAGGCUGGGUCUCAUGCGGCGAAGAGUUGCGAACCCCGUCAGGUCCGAGAGGGAGCAGCGGUAAGCAAUAAGCUUCGGGUGCCAUGAGGAAACCUGGCUGGAGCAAACUGCACAGGGGGCACCUGUUGCGGUAAAUCGAAUUCCGCUGCACGG
rnacentral:SRP_RNA from 1 species